rnacentral:rRNA from 1 species
GAUGAACGCUAGCUACAGGCUUAACACAUGCAAGUCGCGGGGCAGCAUUUCCUUAGCUUGCUAAGGAAGAUGGCGACCGGCGCACGGGUGAGUAACGCGUAUCCAACCUUCCCAUGUCCACGGGAUAGCCCGUCGAAAGGCGGAUUAAUACCGUAUGAGGUCACAUGCGGGCAUCUAAGUGUGACGAAAGGUUUAGCGGACAUGGAUGGGGAUGCGUCCGAUUAGUUUGUUGGCGGGUAACGGCCCACCAAGGCGACGAUCAGUAGGGGUUCUGAGAGGAAGGUCCCCCACAUUGGAACUGAGACACGGUCCAAACUCCUACGGGAGGCAGCAGUGAGGAAUAUUGGUCAAUGGACGGGAGUCUGAACCAGCCAAGUAGCGUGCAGGACGACGGCCCUAUGGGUUGUAAACUGCUUUUAUAGGGGGAUAAAGUGUGCCACGUGUGGCAUAUUGCAGGUACCCUAUGAAAUAAGGACCGGCUAAUUCCGUG